rnacentral:lncRNA from 1 species
AUCGUAGUCAAUGUAGCCGGUGGCGUAGCUAACCUUGUACGGGAGGCUCUCGAAGUAGAUGGAGGUGGCGGAGAUCUUCUUGCCCCCGGAGGUGUAGUAUCCAUGGGUGAGGUGGCCACCGGACGGGAGAUCGAGGCCCAUGAUGCGGUCGUGGGGGUUGAGGAGGGCGGUGUAGGCGGCGAAGUUGGCAGGGCUGCCGGAGUAGGGCUGGACAUUGACGCCCCACUUGGCAGGGUCAAGGCGGUAGGCGGCGAGGGCCCGGGAGCGGCAGAGGUUCUCGAUGGCGUCGAUGUGCUCGUUGCCGCCGUAGUAGCGGUUGCCGGGCAUGCCCUCGGAGUACUUGUUGGUGAGGGCGCUACCGAGGGCCUCGAUGACGGCGAAUGAGGUGAAAUUCUCGGAGGCGAUGAGCUCGAUGCCGUGCGACUGCCGCCGUUUCUCGUGCUCGAUGAGGUCGUGGAUCUCCGGGUCCACGGCGGAGAGCGGAGAGAGGCCCCAUUCGCUCACAGACUCCAUGGCGCUAGACGUGGCAGAGUGGGAGAAGGGCAGGAGGAAGGAGUCUUCCAAGAGAUCGGGGAG